rnacentral:rRNA from 1 species
CAUAGCGACUAUCGUGGCAUAUCAAUAAGCGGAGGAAAAGAAACUAACAAGGAUUCCCCUAGUAACGGCGAGUGGAAGCGGGAAGAGCUCAAAUUUGAAAUCUUAAAGGGUUUCCCUUUACGAAUUGUAGUUUAAAGAAGUGUUUUCUGUUGGAAGUUUCGGUAAAAGUUCUUUGGAAUAGGACAUCAUAGAGGGUGAGAAUCCCGUAUUUGACCAGUUACUUUCCAGCUGUGUGAUACACUUUCAAAGAGUCGGAUUGUUUGGGAAUGCAGUCCAAAAUGGGUGGUAAAUUUCAUCUAAAGCUAAAUAUUGGCGAGAGGACCGAUAGCGAACAAGUACCGUGAGGGAAAGAUGAAAAGAACUUUGAAAAGAGAGUUAAACAGUACGUGAAAUUGUCAAAAGGGAAGCGUUUGACACCAGUGUUGUUUAGUUGAAAAUCAAUUCAAUAAUUUUUGAUUUUAAGUAGUAUUGACUUCAUCAGCUUGCUGCUUUCUUUUCAGGAAUUAUUGAAUGCACUUUUCAGUUAACAAGUCAACAUCAAUUUCUUUUGUUGUAAAAGGGUAAGAGGAAGGUGGCUUACGCUUCGGCGUAAGUGUUUAUAGCCUUUUACCUCUGCAAUCGGAGAGAUUGAGGACAGCAGCGUAGACUCCUUCGGGGGUUAGAUACACUUGUGCUAAGCUAUAGCCUUGUAUAGACAACUUGUUGACUAUGCUCAGUCAUGUAGCUUACUCGCUUGUGCUAUUUUACCUACGCUUAGGAUGUUGACGAGACUGUCGAUCUC